rnacentral:misc_RNA from 1 species
GUCAAGACAGAAGAAAAGGAAAAAGUUAAAGAAGAGGUUAAAGAAGAACCAACACCAUUAAAACGAGUUGCUCAACUGUUUACUAAGCCCAAAGUAACUGAAGUAUCUCCUGUUAAGUCAGCACCGUCAGGUGUUCUGGAUGGAGAAGCUGAAUCUGAAGAAGUCAAGACAGAAGAAGAAGAGGAGGAAGAGGUUGAAGAAGAACCAACACCUUUAGAGCCAGAUCCUAAAUUGCCAAAAUUAGUUCGUAUGGCUAAUCUCUGUGUUGUUGGUGGGCAUGCGGUUAACGGGGUUGCUGAAAUUCACAGUGAGAUUGUUAAAGAGGAUGUAUUCAACAGCUUUUAUAAGUUUUGGCCUGAAAAGUUUCAAAACAAAACCAAUGGAGUGACUCCUAGACGCUGGAUUAGUUUCUGCAAUCCGGAACUAAGCAAAUUACUAACCAAGUAUAUUGGUACUGAUGAUUGGAUUCUGAACACUGAAAAACUGGCUGAACUAAGAAAGUUCGCUGAUAAUGAGGACCUGCAUACCGAGUGGAGGGCUGCUAAAACAAGCAACAAAUUGAAGGUCGCGUCAUUAAUCAAGGAGAGAACAGGA